rnacentral:lncRNA from 1 species
AAAAAGUAGGAUUUACAACUACCAGUUACUGGGCAGAAGACCAAGGGUGAGAGUAUCCGUCAUCGGUUACGAUGAACAUAUCAAGGAUAAACUCAACAGGGAAGAAAAUUCGUCACCGGUUAGGAUGAACAUAUCAAGGAUAGACUUUCCUGGGGAUGUCAAGGAGGAUACCCGUCAUCGGUUAGGAUAAACAUAUCAAGGAUAUACCAACUGAAAAA